rnacentral:rRNA from 1 species
AUGUGGUACUUCAUUGUAAUUAACUCGCCUGUGUGGGACGGUGGCGCCGCAACCUUAGAGGCAUUGGUGGCGCACCUCCUGGUGUGGAUGAGGUCCAGCAAAGGGUUCGAGGGCCGGUACAACUUCUCCGUCUAUGACGGCGCAGACGAGAUGGUGUUCCGGGUUGAUAACUGCUUACGCCGCCGGAAACUCUUCGCCCGCGAGCAGACCCUCAUGGGACUUCAACGGCGCGCUGCUCUUCCCCAUGAGGCUGCUACUCGCAACGCCACAGGAGGCCGCCAAGAACCCAUCCUCGCCGUCGCCGCUUGGUGCAGGGGAUGCCGCCAAGAUCCCCCAUCCUUGCCGCCACGGCUCGGCGCACAGGAGGCGCCAGGAGCCUCGCCCUAG